rnacentral:sRNA from 2 species
AUAGCUUCUCGUUACUAGUCGGCAUAGCCCUUGGCUCUUUGACAAAUUGGCUGUUUCCCUCCAUCUUCUGCGUUAGGGAAGACAUUACGCCAGUCACAACUAUAUAUUGACUGGGUUUGCAGAAUGCUUAGUACCUCACACAACGAUCCCUUUUUUUGACACUGACGGGCUUUCUUCAGUGGGGAAUUCAUCAGAGUUGUAAUUAAUGGUCGCAUGCCUUUCCAUCCAGAGCAAACUCAGCCAGGAGGGUAGAACAAGGUGCGAGGAAGAUGAAAAGCUAACAUCAUAUAAGACUCUAAGCACGUGUGAAAGCGGGAAGUGACCGAGCAUCCAAGCUG